rnacentral:rRNA from 1 species
GACGAACGCUGGCGGCGUGCUUAACACAUGCAAGUCGAACGAAGUGGCGAACGGGUGAGUAAUACGUGGGUAACCUGCCCUCCUUUUUGGGAUAAGCCUGGGAAACUGGGUCUAAUACCGGAUAGUGUGGGAUGGGCCCGCGGCCUAUCAGCUUGUUGGUGGGGUAAUGGCCUAACAAGGCGGCGACGGGUCGCCGGCCUGGGAGGGUGGACGGCCACAUUGGGACUGAGAGACGGCCCAGACGCCAACGGGGGGCAGCAGUGGGGAAUAUUGCACAAUGGGCGGAAGCCUGAUGCGGCGACGCCGGGUGGGGGAUGACGGCCUUCGGGUUGUAAACUCCUUUCACCAUCGACGCGGUAGAUGGAGAAGAAGCACCGGCUAACUACGUGCCAGCAGCCGCGGUAAUAC